UGAGAUGGUUGACCAGAGAGCACACGCUAUAUUUGUGCCGUUUGUGACCUGGUCCACUAACCCU
rfam:Cavia porcellus supercont2_111 genomic scaffold, whole genome shotgun sequence.